rnacentral:miRNA from 3 species
UUUCCAAUUCCACCCAUUCCUA